CGUAGGUAGCAAGCGUUGUCCGGAUUUAUUGGGUUUAAAGGGUGCGUAGGCGGCCCUGUAAGUCAGUGCUGAAAUAUCCCGGCUUAACCGGGAGGGUGGCAUUGAUACUGCAGGGCUUGAGUAAAGUUGAGGUUGGCGGAAUUGACGGUGUAGCGGUGAAAUGCUUAGAUAUCGUCAAGAACACCGAUAGUGAAGACAGCUAACUAAGCUUUAACUGACGCUGAGGCACGAAAGUGUGGGGGAUCAAACAGGAUUAGAUACUCUGGUAGUCCACACUGUAAACGUUGAUUACUCGAUGUUGGCGAUACACAGUCAGCGUCUUAGCGCAAGCGAUAAGUAAUCCACCUGGGGAGUACGCCGGCAACGGUG
rnacentral:rRNA from 1 species